GGUAUGAAUAGGGAUGUUCACACUCAGGCCUGUGACCACAGACAAAGUAGCCAGCCCACCAUCCCUAGAUGAUUUUGCAGUCUUUGCACACCAGUGUGGCCAUAGGCUUGUUUUCUCCUGGACGGAGCCUGCAGAUCCUAUGAGCAAGCAUAUGUCCUGUGCUCCACUAGUCCUAGCUGGAUCGUGGACAUAUUACCAUCAUUACAAAUAUCAAUAGUUUGUGAUUACUUCAAACAAUCUGAAGUUGAAGGACCCCAGAUAUCCUUCAAAACAGGAAUCUGCAGGCAGAUGCUGAACCCAUGAAUACAGAGGGACAACUAUGUAAGCUCGUUAACGCUGACAUAGUUUUAUGAAUGCAAACAGCCAAGGAGAGCAGAUGUUGAGUGGUUGCCAGAGUGAAAUGAGGAAGCCCUGCUGCCAGCUUCCCACCAAAAAGCAGGCUCCGGCCCUGAACGCAGGAGAGUUGCUAAAGAAGUUGCUCACAGAGGCGGGAGAGAGCAGGCUACUGGUUUCCUUCAAAAUGGAAUAGGAAACAGAAAACGUGCAUCAUUUCUUCGCACUUGAAUCAGCAACAUGACACAGGACUUUGGCAUCAGAAUGAGCAGCAGCAGAGUCAUCAGGGAGAGAUGCAGACUCUCAGGACUUGCCCCAGACCUCCUGAAUCAGAGUCCAGCAUUGAACAAGUCCCCUAGGUGACUGGUCCACACAGUCUGCAGUUCCUAACCAGCUCCCAGCAACAGAAAGAACACCUCAAUCCCAGCAUUCUAAGCAAGAAUUGCAAGGCUCAGACACGUCAAUGCCCACUGCUAUAACUGACAAGGAAGUGGAAUGUCGUGUUUGGCUUCAACCAACGAAGGCUGGUUGGAGCUUUGAACUACUAUCACACCAAAAAAAGAGGCUUCACUUGGAGUGCUGCCACUGGAUGGGGCCUGACUUGUUUAUCCGGAAAGAAGUGACUUCCCUGGGAAGAAGGUUGCAUUUGUGAAAGCUUGUGAGGCAUUUCAAGGCUGCAUUCAGGUACAGGUCUUUGAAGAGUUUGCAUUGCUCUGUGAGUUACCAGAGGACUGCCAUCUUUAAUCCAAUUCAGACAGCGAUUCACCAGGCUUUGCAUGUGCUCAGGCCUGUUGCUCCUUAUCAGAGGCCCACAUGGAGCUCUCAGUACAGCUGCAGCCCUGGAGAAUUUCCCUGUCUCCUCCUGUUCUCUCUCUCUCCUCCUCCUCCCGCUUCUCUUCCCUGCCUCUCCCCCACCCCUAUACAAACACACACAUACACACAGACACACAGACACACACACACACACACACACACACACUACUCCUUAGCUCUUUAAUUUUCCUUUUAAGGCAUCAAAAUCAAUUUUGGGACUCUAUUUGGUACAAAGAGUUGAUAUGGAUUUGAUACGGAUAGAGUUGACUGAUCUCUACUCUGGGUUUGAAGAUGUUGCUGCAAAUGGAAAGGAAAUAAUCCCGGGCUAUUGUGACAGAUGACAUGGUGUAGAGGGAAGAGCGCAGGACCGAAGGUGGAGAAUCACUUGUUUAUGCAACACAUAUUUCCUGAACAUCAAAUACAAGGAUAAAGCCAUGAAGGAAACAGAGCCCUGUUUCUGCAGAACACACGUUCUGGUUGGAGAAGACAAGUAGCGAAUACACCAACAAAUAAGAGAAUAUUUGACGAUGUUGAGUGUUUUAUGAAGGGGAUAAAGAGUGACUGCAGGGCUCAGAAGGAAGCGAUUAUUUUAAGUAGGGAAGGUCUUUUGUAAGAAGGUGCUAUUUAAAUUGAGACUUUAAAGGUGUGCAACUUUGGAUAAAUUGGAAACAAGAAGGGAAGUGCAUUCUGUGGGAUCUAGUAAGAGCAGAGAGUGAUGACCAACUCCAGACCCCAAAGAGAAAGGAGAGUGAGGCUAUUGGCACUUGGAGGCAGAGAAAGCCAUGUGUAGAGGGUGGCCCGACUGAGCUAAAACCUUCACUCUGUUGGUCUUGAGCUAUUUGAGGGUCUAUUAUGUGCAGGAUUAGGCUCGGCACUAUCGAGGAUCACAAAAGCGUGUUAGUUAUGGAGUCUUCCAGCAAUAGGCUUACAGUCAAGAAUGGGAAACAACACAUAUGCACGUAAUUUGAUUGAAAUGUAGGAAGUCUUAAGGAUGAUAGGAGGAGUUCAGAUAAAGACUAGAAAGUUCUCAGGUGCCAGAUUGCUUCCAGCCAACAGAUCAGAGGAACUGCCAUAGAGGAGGUGGCUGUGUGUGCCCUGGACCUCAAAGGAGAGAGAUGAUAUUCAGACGUGUAGCAGUGAUGGGCAGAAGCACAUUUUAAAUGGAGGGAAUGAAACAGGAUAAGCAAAAGACUGGUGAUUGAAAAACUCUGGUUGCCUGUGCAGAAAAGAGAAAUCUUAGUUUGACUGGAGCUUCUGGCACAUGAAAGGGAUUUAGAGUUUGCCGUUUCUGUGAAUCUGUCCAUCUUCACCCUCAUGCUGUUCUCCUUUCCUCUUUUAACCUGUAUCUUCUCUCUCUUUGUUUUGUUGACUUUCUCUUUUUUGUUUUCCGUUGUCCUUUUUUAUGAGUGGAGCAUUUCAGUGCAAGAGCAAAUGGGAGUGGAGUGGGGUUCUGUGGAAUGUCAGAAAUGCAUGCUCAACCUAGAUUUCCCAAGCUCUCACUCAGUCUUAUCCCAGGGAUCACUUGACAUGAUGGGAAAUGAUGGGAAAAAAAUAAACAAUGUGAUCCCAGAGCAAAACUUA